rnacentral:tRNA from 1 species
GUACACAAUAGCUUGCUUUUGGUUGCAAAGCAAGUAAGUUUAAUUAAUCAACUGAGUACU